ncrna:Clostridium novyi NT THF riboswitch
GGCAGAGUAGGUAUUUGUGCGUUAAGUGUCAUUGGAACGGGAAGUUGUCCAUUGAACGAAAAAUGAAUUUAUUUCAUUUGCGGUGCAUAUAUCGCAUUCCGCUGCC